rnacentral:misc_RNA from 1 species
UCUAAUUUAUAAACACGAAUAAAUAUGCUUAAAAUAUAGUCGUUUUUAUGAGAAUAGAGUUCAAAUAUUAUUGGUUCUAUUUUAUUUUCUACUCCAUUUUAUCUGCUCUAUUACUUUCGAUAUAAGCUAUUUUCUUCGUAAAAAUAACCUCUCCAUUUCAAAUGAAAGAAAUUCAACUCGUUCUUCGAUCUAACUCGCAUUUUUAUAG